UUAGCCAGGCGUGGAGGUGCACACCUAUAGUCCAGGUACUUGGGAGGCUGAGGUGGGAGGAUCGCUUGAGCCUGGAGGUCGAGGCUGCAGUGAACCAUAGCCAUGCCGCUUUGCUCUAACCUGGGAGAGAAAGCAUGACCCUGUCUUAGAAAAAAAAAAAGCUGGCAAACACAGGUAAACAUAAGUGUUUCCCUGAGUUCUGUGAGCCAUCAUAGCAAAUGGGUGCCUCCAAUUUGUAGCCAAGUUAGAAGUGUGCGUAACCUAGGGACUCACUAGCUGCAAUUGGCAUCUGAAGUUUGGGGGCAGUUUUGUGGGACUGAGCCCCUAACCUGUGGCAUCUGCAGUCACUCCAGGUAGUUAGUGUCGUAAUUAAAUUGUGUGAUACACCUAGUUGGUGUCCAAAGAGUUGGAGGAUUCUUUGGGGUAGAAUAAGCCCUGAGACAUUUUGUGUCAGAAGGGUUGAGUGUAGUAGAGCAAAACAGUGUGUGUUUGUUUCCUGUUUAAGCUCCCAGGUGAUUUUAGCGUGCAGCUAAGACUGAGAGCUGUCUUGAGGAUAUGAAGUCACUACUUUUCAGGUCCUCAUCAUUCUGGUCAGUCUCUUUUCUCAGACGCAAGUCCCGACUUCUGUUGAGAUUUUCUCUUUUUGAUGGCAUGGGCCAUUUUCAGAGGCUGACCAAGCUUACCUUCUGCCACGUGGGCUACACCUCUGCCUGUACCCUGGGCUUCAAGUCCUACCUGGAGGCAGCCACCUUUCAAUAACCCAUGAAGUGUCUGGAGCUCCACCCUCUGCUCAAGAGGAACGGCACAUGACCCAGGCCUCUGCCAAUCAGCAUUUCACAUUCCUCAUGAUCGAUUCAAAGGUGAGCAAGUAAUUGAAGUCAGUUAAAUUAGUGCCACUGCAAGAGUCUCUUUCCCCCACCCCAGUAUUGUCAUGGUUUUAAUAUGGUUUAUCCACACAAAACUCACAUUGAGGCAUGGACUCCAGUGUGGCAGUGUUGGGAGGUGGUGCCUUUAAGAGGUGAUUAGAUUGUUAAGAGGGAUGAAUGCCUUACUCUUGCAGUGAGUUCUUGUUCUCUCAGUUCUGGAUUAGUUCCCAUGAGAGUGGGUUGUUAUAAAGCAAGGCUGCCUCUUGCAUUUGGUCUCUUUUGCUUGCCCUUCUACUUUUCUGACACACUGCAAUGCAGCAGGAGGCCCUCACCAGAUGCAACUGCCUGAUCUUGAACAUCCCAGUCUCUAGAACUGUGAGCCUAAUAAACCUCUUUCUUUUAUAAAUAACCCAGUCUCAGGUAUAUUGUUAUAGCAACAGGAAAAGGAUUAAGACAUAUGUUGUACUUGAACCUUAAUGUGCUUGAACUUGAAACUUGAUGACUGCAGCAGCUAUAGCCAUCUUACUUCCAUGUGAAGCCUGAGAAUUAAGCAACACAUGGAAGGGAGCACAUCAUUUGGGCCCCGAUUUGGCCAUGAGCUGCCCUUAGAUUUUUUUUAGUUAUGUGAGCCAAUACAUUUCCUAAAACAGGUAAAAUUAUGUUUUUAGACACUGAUAACCAAAACAGUACAAACUAUGCUUAUGGAGAUUUGCUUUAAAAAGGAGAACUAGAGAGAGAGAAUUUGUUGCCUUUUGACCAAUGCUUCCUUGAGAGAGCUGAUAUUCUGAUUCCUGACCUCAGCCACUAUUUGAUUGGCAGAUGUACGCUUAUGCACUGCAUAAUGACAUUUUGGUCAAUGAUGGGCGCUUGAGCCCAGGAGGUCAAAGCUGCAGUGAGCUGUCAUUGCGCCACUGCACUCCAAUCUAAGUGACAGAGUGAGACCCUGUCU